rnacentral:rRNA from 1 species
UGGGGAAUAUUGCACAAUGGGCGGAAGCCUGAUGCAGCAACGCCGCGUGAGUGAUGAAGGCCUUCGGGUUGUAAAGCUCUGUCUUUUGGGACGAUAAUGACGGUACCAAAGGAGGAAGCCACGGCUAACUACGUGCCAGCAGCCGCGGUAAUACGUAGGUGGCAAGCGUUGUCCGGAUUUACUGGGCGUAAAGGAUGCGUAGGCGGAUUUUUAAGUGAGAUGUGAAAACCCUAAGCUUAACUUGGGGACUGCAUUUCAUACUGGAAAUCUAGAGUGCGGGAGAGGAGAAUGGAAUUCCUAGUGUAGCGGUGAAAUGCGUAGAGAUUAGGAAGAACACCAGUGGCGAAGGCGAUUCUCUGGACCGUAACUGACGCUGAGGCAUGAAAGCGUGGGUAGCAAACAGGAUUAGAUACCCUGGUAGUCCACGCCGUAAACGAUGAGUACUAGGUGUAGGAGGUAUCGACCCCUUCUGUGCCGCAGUUAACACAAUAAGUACUCCGCCUGGGAAGUACGAUCGCAAGAUUAAAACUCAAAGGAAUUGAC